rnacentral:rRNA from 1 species
GAAAUCACAGGAUCCGCUACGUGUGGUGAAUGUUAUAACGUAAGGGAAAAAAAUGAUAUUACCUUACUAUUAGUGUUGUCCAAAACUGGUGCCAGAAGACUCGGUAAGGCCAGAGACGCAAACGUUAGUCGUCCUAAUCAGGCGUAAAGGGUAAGUAGGCUGCUUUAAAAGUUUAGUAUAAUAUUUUAAUUAGCUCUGUAUUAAAAAAGUAAUAUUUGUUUAACACAGUAAAAUAUAAAUGAAUUAAAGCUAGGAUCAAAUUGAGGAUAAUUAUAAAUAAUACUUAGUGUAGGGUUUACAUCUGGUGAUACUAAGGGGAGUACUAACGGUGAAAGCUUUUUAUCUAGAAAUGAUUGACGCUGAGGAACGAAGGUGAGAAUAGGAAAUAGGAUUAGAUACCCAGAUACCUCUCACAGUCAACGAUGAAUGGUGGUUGUUAGUUAGUUUUAUUUAACUGAUAACGAUGUUAACACGAUAACCAUUCCGCCUUGCGAGUACGGUUGCAAAACUGAAACCAAAAAAAUUAGUCGGUCU